AUGUACAUCGAAGCACAGGUUCUUGAAGCUACUUUGGAGCAGAGUGUGCGAGAUGGGGCGAAGGACUUGGAACAGUUGAUGAGCAGCAGGAGCUCGUAUCUUGUCAAGCAAGAUGAGUAUAUGAAGAAAAUCCGAAAUUUGGACUCAUUGCCUGCUGAUGCUUUUGAAACCUAUGUUUCCAUUUGUUUUACAUUGCUAAACUGGCUAACUCAGCUGCACAAUACCUUUUUUUAUAGUGUUAACCAUGCUGUAGUUAUUUUCUGGCCAAUAAUAAAGGUACAAGAGAAAGAACAAGCAGCAGCUGCUUUAUGA
rnacentral:rRNA from 1 species